rnacentral:rRNA from 1 species
CCGGCGAUGUCCGAAUGGGGAAACCCAGUGCAAUUCGUUGCACUAUCGUUAACUGAAUACAUAGGUUAACGAGGCGAACCGGGGGAACUGAAACAUCUAAGUACCCCGAGGAAAAGAAAUCAACCGAGAUUCCCCCAGUAGCGGCGAGCGAACGGGGAGCAGCCCAGAGUCUGAAUCAGCUUGUGUGUUAGUGGAACGGUCUGGAAAGUCCGACGGUACAGGGUGAUAGUCCCGUACACCAAAAUGCACAGGUUGUGAACUCGAAGAGUAGGGCGGGACACGUGGUAUCCUGUCUGAAUAUGGGGGGACCAUCCUCCAAGGCUAAAUACUCCUGACUGACCGAUAGUGAACCAGUACCGUGAGGGAAAGGCGAAAAGAACCCCGGCGAGGGGAGUGAAAAAGAACCUGAAACCGUGUACGUACAAGCAGUGGGAGCACCUUCGGGUGUGACUGCGUACCUUUUGUAUAAUGGGUCAGCGACUUAUAUUCUGUAGCAAGGUUAACCGUAUAGGGGAGCCGCAGGGAAACCGAGUCUUAACUGGGCGUUAAGUUGCAGGGUAUAGACCCGAAACCCGGUGAUCUAGCCAUGGGCAGGUUGAAGGUUGGGUAACACUAACUGGAGGACCGAACCGACUAAUGUUGAAAAAUUAGCGGAUGACUUGUGGCUGGGGGUGAAAGGCCAAUCAAACCGGGAGAUAGCUGGUUCUCCCCGAAAGCUAUUUAGGUAGCGCCUCGUGAACUCAUCUUCGGGGGUAGAGCACUGUUUCGGCUAGGGGGUCAUCCCGACUUACCAACCCGAUGCAAACUACGAAUACCGAAGAAUGUUAUCACGGGAGACACACGGCGGGUGCUAACGUCCGUCGUGAAGAGGGAAACAACCCAGACCGCCAGCUAAGGUCCCAAAGUCAUGGUUAAGUGGGAAACGAUGUGGGAAGGCACAGACAGCCAGGAUGUUGGCUUAGAAGCAGCCAUCAUUUAAAGAAAGCGUAAUAGCUCACUGGUCGAGUCGGCCUGCGCGGAAGAUGUAACGGGGCUAAACCAUGCACCGAAGCUGCGGCAGCGACACUAUGUGUUGUUGGGUAGGGGAGCGUUCUGUAAGCCUGCGAAGGUGUGCUGUGAGGCAUGCUGGAGGUAUCAGAAGUGCGAAUGCUGACAUAAGUAACGAUAAAGCGGGUGAAAAGCCCGCUCGCCGGAAGACCAAGGGUUCCUGUCCAACGUUAAUCGGGGCAGGGUGAGUCGACCCCUAAGGCGAGGCCGAAAGGCGUAGUCGAUGGGAAACAGGUUAAUAUUCCUGUACUUGGUGUUACUGCGAAGGGGGGACGGAGAAGGCUAUGUUAGCCGGGCGACGGUUGUCCCGGUUUAAGCAUGUAGGCUGAUUGUCCAGGCAAAUCCGGAUAAUCAAGGCUGAGGUGUGAUGACGAGGCACUACGGUGCUGAAGUAACAAAUGCCCUGCUUCCAGGAAAAGCCUCUAAGCAUCAGGUAACAUCAAAUCGUACCCCAAACCGACACAGGUGGUCAGGUAGAGAAUACCAAGGCGCUUGAGAGAACUCGGGUGAAGGAACUAGGCAAAAUGGUGCCGUAACUUCGGGAGAAGGCACGCUGGUGUGUAGGUGAAGUCCCUGCGGAUGGAGCUGAGACCAGUCGAAGAUACCAGCUGGCUGCAACUGUUUAUUAAAAACACAGCACUGUGCAAACACGAAAGUGGACGUAUACGGUGUGACGCCUGCCCGGUGCCGGAAGGUUAAUUGAUGGGGUUAUCCGUAAGGAGAAGCUCUUGAUCGAAGCCCCGGUAAACGGCGGCCGUAACUAUAACGGUCCUAAGGUAGCGAAAUUCCUUGUCGGGUAAGUUCCGACCUGCACGAAUGGCGUAAUGAUGGCCAGGCUGUCUCCACCCGAGACUCAGUGAAAUUGAACUCGCUGUGAAGAUGCAGUGUACCCGCGGCAAGACGGAAAGACCCCGUGAACCUUUACUAUAGCUUGACACUGAACAUUGAGCCUUGAUGUGUAGGAUAGGUGGGAGGCUUUGAAGCGUGGACGCCAGUCUGCGUGGAGCCAACCUUGAAAUACCACCCUUUAAUGUUUGAUGUUCUAACGUUGGCCCCUUACCGGGGUUGCGGACAGUGUCUGGUGGGUAGUUUGACUGGGGCGGUCUCCUCCCAAAGCGUAACGGAGGAGCACGAAGGUUAGCUAAUCCUGGUCGGACAUCAGGAGGUUAGUGCAAUGGCAUAAGCUAGCUUGACUGCGAGCGUGACGGCGCGAGCAGGUGCGAAAGCAGGUCAUAGUGAUCCGGUGGUUCUGAAUGGAAGGGCCAUCGCUCAACGGAUAAAAGGUACUCCGGGGAUAACAGGCUGAUACCGCCCAAGAGUUCAUAUCGACGGCGGUGUUUGGCACCUCGAUGUCGGCUCAUCACAUCCUGGGGCUGAAGUAGGUCCCAAGGGUAUGGCUGUUCGCCAUUUAAAGUGGUACGCGAGCUGGGUUUAGAACGUCGUGAGACAGUUCGGUCCCUAUCUGCCGUGGGCGCUGGAGAAUUGAGGGGGGCUGCUCCUAGUACGAGAGGACCGGAGUGGACGCAUCACUGGUGUUCGGGUUGUCAUGCCAAUGGCACUGCCCGGUAGCUAAAUGCGGAAGAGAUAAGUGCUGAAAGCAUCUAAGCACGAAACUUGCCCCGAGAUGAGUUCUCCCUGAGACUUUAAGUCUCCUGAAGGAACGUUGAAGACGACGACGUUGAUAGGCCGGGUGUGUAAGCGCAGCGAUGCGUUGAGCUAACCGGUACUAAUGAACCGUGAGGCUUAACCUU